UACAGAGGGGGCAAGCGUUGUUCGGAAUUACUGGGCGUAAAGGGCGCGUAGGCGGCCUUCUAAGUCGAACGUGAAAUCCCUGGGCUCAACCCAGGAACUGCGUCCGAUACCGGGAGGCUUGAAUCCGGGAGAGGGAUGCGGAAUUCCAGGUGUAGCGGUGAAAUGCGUAGAUAUCUGGAGGAACACCGGUGGCGAAGGCGGCAUCCUGGACCGGUAUUGACGCUGAGGCGCGAAAGCCAGGGGAGCAAACGGG
rnacentral:rRNA from 1 species